AAUUUAGAGGGAUAGAAAAAUUAUUUUUACCUAAAAUUUGUCAAGCCUUAUAAAAGAAACCAUUUACUAUUUCUUCUUUAAGUUGAAGCAUGGAAUCUUUCAAGUUUUUAAUUUAUGAAUGAUACUAAAAUUUUAUUUUUUUUUAUAGAGAGAUAGAUAUUGUUGAUGUAUGAGUUUAAUAAGAAGGAGAUACAAAAGAAAAUAUGUGAUAGUGUUGAUGGAAGCUCGUUCACCCUCUCUAGCGAAGGGUUGGAGAGUAAAGAGAGUGGACAUGAUGGAAGUGGAGGAUAAAGUGGCAGAGUGCAAGAUAAAGUGUUUGGAGAGUCGAUCUCUGCUCCAUCAUUUUGGGGACUAUUUAUAGGUGUGGUCCCAUGUUAAGUAACAUUAACGUGGCGGAUUCGCUAUCAGACCAUCAUUGUAGGACCCAUGGGGUGGAUGUCCAUGAUGGGACGAGUAUCCUUGUGAUAGAAUGUAUUUUGUCAUUCCUUUUAAUUCAUUGUACAAAAUGGUUGAACGCAUGUUAAGUUUGUGACCUAAAGGAUCACGUUCUUAACAAAAGACUGAGUGCCUGAAGGAACGAGUGGUGGUCUCCUUUCGUAAAGAACAAGUGACUUUUUUCCUCGAGCAACUGCCUCCUACCAAGCCGGAUAGCUAAGUCGGAAGGUAGAGCUUCUGAUGGUCUCUUGGUUCUUCUUGGGUGGGGACACUCCUCAAAUGACCUAUCGCACUGUAACGUAUCCUAAGUUAAAAGAGGUAUAACAAAUUCCCAUGCUCAUGAGACAAAUCUAUGAUUGUAUCAACAAAUUCAACAGAAUUAACGUGAAUUAUUACGCAUAUAUAAUAAAUAAUCAUUAAGAAAGAAAACUGUUCUACAUUUAGACAUUGGGUAUUGAUUAAUAUCCCUACCAGAGUCUGUGAACCACAGCCAUAAGAAUGAAGUUCAUAAAUUAUACCAACCUAAUUUGGGACUCAUAACAAGUAGCAUAUCUCCAUCUUGCAGCAGGGAAAUCAAUUUUAUUGCCAUCCUUAAUUAAUGAACAUUUGUGGUGAGACCCCCCGGGUAGAGACCCUAGUGGCCCAGUCAAAUACUUGUUUUGUAAGCAAGCAGCUGUAUCAUAAUACUUGGCAAUCCCUGAUGCCAUACCAGUGUUAUCAACAAACUUGCCGUCGCCAUCACUGUUACCACCUUGGUCUGCUAGGAAGGAAUAUCAUCAAUUAUUUUCCCCACCACCUUAUAAAUUUAGGUGAACUGCCAAAUACUCUGAUAAUUAUUAGUCAUUUAUAUAUGUGGAAUCAAU
rnacentral:lncRNA from 1 species